CAGUCACCGCGGUAAUACGAAGGGUGCAAGCGUUACUCGGAAUUACUGGGCGUAAAGCGUGCGUAGGUGGUGGUUUAAGUCCGUUGUGAAAGCCCUGGGCUCAACCUGGGAAUUGCAGUGGAUACUGGGUCACUAGAGUGUGGUAGAGGAUAGUGGAAUUUCCGGUGUAGCAGUGAAAUGCGUAGAGAUCGGAAGGAACAUCUGUGGCGAAGGCGACUAUCUGGGCCAACACUGACACUGAGGCACGAAAGCGUGGGGAGCAAACAGGAUUAGAUACCCCCGUAGUCCCUGUCUCUUAUAA
rnacentral:rRNA from 1 species